rnacentral:rRNA from 1 species
AGAAUAAUGUCUGGGAAACUGCCUGAUGGAGGGGGAUCACUACUGGAAACGGUAGCUAAUACCGCAUAACGUCGCAAGACCAAAGAGGGGGACCUUCGGGCCUCUUGCCAUCACAUGUGCCCAGAUGGGAUUAGCUAGUAGGUGGGGUAAUGGCUCACCUAGGCGACGAUCCCUAGCUGGUCUGAGAGGAUGACCAGCCACACUGGAACUGAGACACGGUCCAGACUCCUACGGGAGGCAGCAGUGGGGAAUAUUGCACAAUGGGCGCAAGCCUGAUGCAGCCAUGCCGCGUGUGUGAAGAAGGCCUUCGGGUUGUAAAGCACUUUCAGCGAGGAGGAAGGUGGUGAGCUUAAUACGCUCAUCAAUUGACGUUACUCGCAGAAGAAGCACCGGCUAACUCCGUGCCAGCAGCCGCGGUAAUACGGAGGGUGCAAGCGUUAAUCGGAAUUACUGGGCGUAAAGCGCACGCAGGCGGUUUGUUAAGUUAGAUGUGAAAUCCCCGGG